AUUGAACGCUGGCGGCAUGCCUUACACAUGCAAGUCGAACGGUAACGGGCCUUCGGGUGCCGACGAGUGGCGAACGGGUGAGUAAUACAUCGGAACGUGCCCGAUCGUGGGGGAUAACGUGGCGAAAGCUUUGCUAAUACCGCAUACGAUCUACGGAUGAAAGCAGGGGACCGCAAGGCCUUGCGCGGACGGAGCGGCCGAUGGCAGAUUAGGUAGUUGGUGGGAUAAAAGCUUACCAAGCCGACGAUCUGUAGCUGGUCUGAGAGGAUGAUCAGCCACACUGGGACUGAGACACGGCCCAGACUCCUACGGGAGGCAGCAGUGGGGAAUUUUGGACAAUGGGCGCAAGCCUGAUCCAGCCAUGCCGCGUGCAGGAUGAAGGCCUUCGGGUUGUAAACUGCUUUUGUACGGAACGAAAAGCCUUCUUUUAAUACAGGAGGGUCAUGACGGUACCGUAAGAAUAAGCACCGGCUAACUACGUG
rnacentral:rRNA from 1 species